CUUAGUUACUAGAAUGUUUUUCUCAACUAUGAAUCUGACUUCACUCCCUUUCUUGAAAACCUCCUGUAGUUCCUGUUGUGUACGGGAUAAAGGUGCUUACCAUGGGGCUGCGCAGGUGGAAAGCAGCCCAGUCUUACUAUGAGGAUGUCCGUUUGCCAUCUGGGAACAAGGAGGAAGAAGCAGAGACCUGGGCAAGACCUCAGAGAAUAAAUUAUCUCAAUGGCUACUUACAUGGUCCAGCAUAGCAGAAAAAAAAGCCACACUGAGCAAGCAGUGGUCCUUUCCAUGCUACACAAGCAAGAAAUGCCUAUAAAGACAGACUUGAGUGCAGUCUAAAGAAUCUUUUGCUUUGCCUUAACACUCUACUUCUGGAUAUCCUUGCUCAAAAAGAAGUCUACUCAAGACAGGGAGGUUCCUGUGGACAGAAACAUCUGCUUCCUGCUUAUCCUGUAUCUCAGCAUCUGAAUGGUCAUGACUGGAACACAGGCAGACUUCAGAAAUAAAUACAUAAAUAUCUCAUACUCCUCGAAUCUUUUAGAAAAAGAGUGUGGGUAACAAUAAACAUAUCUGCUGAGAAAUGACCA